rnacentral:rRNA from 1 species
GUGCCAGCAGCCGCGGUAAUACGUAGGUCCCGAGCGUUGUCCGGAUUUAUUGGGCGUAAAGCGAGCGCAGGUGGUUUAAUAAGUCUGAAGUUAAAGGCAUUGGCUCAACCAAUGUACGCUUUGGAAACUGUUAAACUUGAGUGCAGAAGGGGAGAGUGGAAUUCCAUGUGUAGCGGUGAAAUGCGUAGAUAUAUGGAGGAACACCGGUGGCGAAAGCGGCUCUCUGGUCUGUAACUGACACUGAGGCUCGAAAGCGUGGGUAGCGAACAGGAUUAGAAACCCGCGUAGUCC